AACUCGACUGCAUGAAGCUGGAAUCGCUAGUAAUCGCGGAUCAGAAUGCCGCGGUGAAUACUUCCCGGGUCUUGUACACACCGCCCGUCACACCAUGGGAGUCGGAUAUGCCCGAAGUCAGUGACCCAACCGCAAGGAGGGAGCUGCCGAAGGUGGAGCCGAUGACUGGGGUGAAGUCGUAACAAGGUAAC
rnacentral:rRNA from 1 species